rnacentral:lncRNA from 1 species
UCUGUUAACCUUAAACCAGAAGUCUGGCUCUAAAGCCGGAACCACGCGGCUCCCCUAAGCGGCCAGCCCUAACGCACCAGCAAUCUCCUUCACCCCACCCAUCUGGCACUUAGCUCCGCCCACUUCACGUGUCGCCGUGACGUCAGCACGCCGUCGCAGAAGCCUGGCAUCAAAUGAGCGCAGGUGGCUGCGGUCCUUCGUCGGGCUCUCGAAUGCGCAGGCGCUGUCGUUUCGGGAGCUCUGAAGAGCUGGCGGAGCCCGGCGAGGAUGGAGGCCUCAGGGCGGCGGGGGCGGAGCGCGCCGCGAGCAGGGGGCAUGUCCGCAGCGGGCGCCGUCUAGAGGAAGGCCGAGCAGCCACCACCACGCUUUCAGUCGCGGCGAGACGCAAGCGAGCCAGGCUGAGGGCCGCGGCGGCGAUGCAGCGACGGCGGCGCCCACCGCCGCCCGCUUCUCAGCUGCCGGAGGGCUGCGGGGGAGGCGGUGCCGGCUGCGGGGGAGGCGGCGGGAACGAGGAGGUGGAAGUGCAGUUCUCCGCCGGGCGUUUGGGCUCCGCCGCGGCAGUUUCGGUGGCGGCGGCGGCGGCCGCGCGCAGCACGGAGGAAGAGGAGGAGAGGCUCGAGCGCGAGCACUUCUGGAAGAUCAUAAAUGCCUUCCGCUACUACGGCACCAGUAUGCAUGAGCGAGUGCACCGAACAGAAAGACAGUUUCGAUCACUCCCAGCUAAUCAACAGAAACUACUUCCUCAGUUUCUUCUUCACUUGGACAAGAUCCGGAAAUGUGUUGAUCAUAAUCAAGAAAUACUACUGACCAUUGUGAAUGAUUGCAUACAUAUGUUUGAAAAUAAAGAAUAUGGAGAAGAUGGAAAUGGAAAGAUUAUGCCAGCAUCUACGUUUGACAUGGAUAAGUUAAAAUCCACAUUGAAACAGUUUGUGAGAGACUGGAGUGAAACUGGGAAAGCAGAAAGGGAUGCCUGCUACCAACCAAUCAUUAAAGAAAUUUUAAAAAAUUUUCCAAAAGAGAAAUGGGAUCCUUCUAAAGUAAAUAUUCUGGUACCUGGUGCUGGACUAGGAAGACUGGCCUGGGAAAUAGCUAUGCUAGGUUAUGCUUGUCAAGGAAAUGAAUGGAGUUUUUUUAUGCUUUUUUCUUCCAACUUUGUACUCAACAGAUGUUCUGAAAUUAAUAAAUAUAAGCUUUAUCCCUGGAUUCAUCAGUUUAGCAAUAACCGAAGGUCAGCUGAUCAGAUUCGACCCAUCUUUUUCCCUGAUGUUGACCCCCACAGUCUUCCUCCCGGUUCUAACUUUUCCAUGACAGCAGGAGAUUUUCAGGAGAUAUACUCAGAAUGCAAUACCUGGGACUGUAUUGCUACCUGUUUCUUCAUAGACACAGCUCACAAUGUAAUUGAUUAUAUUGAUACAAUAUGGAAAAUACUCAAGCCAGGUGGAAUUUGGAUAAAUCUAGGUCCUCUGCUGUACCACUUUGAAAAUUUGGCGAAUGAACUUUCCAUAGAAUUGAGCUAUGAGGAUAUAAAAAAUGUUGUCCUGCAGUAUGGAUUCCAGUUAGAGGUGGAAAAAGAAUCUGUCUUGUCAACGUAUACUGUGAAUGAUCUAUCCAUGAUGAAAUACUACUAUGAAUGUGUUUUGUUUGUGGUCCGUAAACCACAAUAA